rnacentral:rRNA from 1 species
GACAGAGGUGCCAAGCGUUAGGCGGAAUCACUGGCUUAAAGCGUGUGUAGGUGGAUGCCUAAGUGCCUUGUGAAAUCCCACGGCUCAACCGUGGAAUUGCUGGGCAUACUGGGUGUCUUGAGCCAUCCAGGGGUCGCUGGAACAAACGGUGGAGCGGUGAAAUGCGUAGAUAUCGUUUGGAACGCCAAUGGUGAAAACAGGCGACUGGGGAUGAGCUGACACUGAGACACGAAAGCCAGGGGAGCAAACGGG